CCAAUGACGGACAUGAAAAUGCGACCCCAAGCAACUUCAGGUAAUCCAGGACGUACAUAUCGAUUCUACGAAGGGAAAGAGGUCUUCCCAUUCGGUUGUGGUCUCAGCUAUUCAAAGUAUUCCUACAAGUUCAAAGCUGUCAGCCAAAACAAGCUUUAUUUAAAUCAGUCAUCAUCUACAAAGAUGGUUGAAAGUCAAGAUGUAGUCCAUUACAAGUCUGUUCCAGAGUUGGGCACAGAAUUUUGUGAGACAAGGAAGUUCUUGGUUACCAUCGGAGUUAAAAAUCAUGGAGAGAUGGCGGGUAAGCACCCGGUGUUGCUGUUUGUGAAGCCUGCAAGGCGUGGAAAUGGGAGGCCAAUAAAGCAGUUGGUUGGAUUCCAAAGUGUGAUUCUAAAUGCCAAAGAAAAAGCUGAAAUUGUUUUUGAGCUUAGCCCCUGUGAAAGCCUCAGCAGAGCUAGGGAAGAUGGCUUGAUGGUGAUAGAAGAAGGAACACAUUUCUUGGUUGUUGGAGAUGAAGAAUACCCAAUUAGCAUCUUCGUCUAAUUAAUAUGAGAAAUUAAUUGGUUCUUGACAACAUGAAGCCAAUUUUUCUAUUCAAAUCUUUAUUGAAACAUUGAUAAAAUAAAGAGGAGUAUGAAGCCAUACCGAGUCCGCUUCUACUGCAUUUCCAUCUUUAUUAGGGUGCCAGGCAUGAGCUCCGUUCUUCAUAUAAAGUGUUUUCACGGCCUAAGUU
rnacentral:lncRNA from 1 species